GAUUUCCUGAGUAACGGCGAGCGAAAAGGAAACUGUCCAGCGCCAAGUCUUGACAUUUAGGUGAUCAAGAGAUGCGGCGUUAAUGUGUUGGCGCAUCGUGCAUUGUUUUCGGUUUCAAGUUUCUUUGACUAGAACAUCCAAAGUGGGUGACAGGCCCAUAGAAACUGNAAGCUAGUGUAUGCAGGCCAUUGCAUUUUAGAGUCAGGUUGCUUGAGAGUGCAGCUUAAAGUCGGUGGUAAACUCCAUCUAAGACUAAAUAUGACAGCGAGACCGAUAGCAAACAAGUACCGUGAGGGAAAGUUGCAAAGCACUUUGAAGAGAGAGUUCAACAGUACGUGAAACCACUGGAAGGCAAACAAAUGGAGCCACGAAGUUGUGCUCUGGUCGAUUCAAUUACCACUGUAAAUUGGCGGCGUUUAUUUUGAACUUUUUCGAAAGUUGUUUAAACGUUUACAGUUUACUUUGGUAGUGCAUUUCGUGCCAGAGAUGCAAAGCCACGUUUGACCAAAGUUGAAACGGCUGUAAGACAGAGUGUUGGUAAGGUGACUGUUACGUGCUUGCAUGUGGCAGCGUUAUAGACUGAUACUGGCACCGUUAUCAACAAGUUAGUCAAUGUAAUUUCUCUUUCGAGAGUAUUUGUCAUGUYUGCUUGURAUAUCAAAUUUGUUCUUAAAGGUUUUCUUUGCGUGCUUAUGGUGCGAAAAGAAGCUUUGACAGUGCUGAUUUGGUGUUGCAUGCAUGUCGUGAUAAAACUGUGGCGCGAGUAGGUCGGUUUCCAUCUGACCCGUCUUGAAACACGGACCAAGGAGCCUAUCAUAUACGCNAGUCGCUCGGUCUUGAACAGGCCCGGGAGGCAAAAUGAAAGUAAAGCUACGAAACUUUGGUUGCAGUAGCGGCUCGCCUACUUUGUUUAUUGGCAAUCAGGCGAAGCUGGAGCGUAUACGAUGGUACCCGAAAGAUGGUGAACUAUGCCUGGGCAAGAUGAAGCCAGAGGAAACUCUGGUGGAAGUCUGUAGCGAUUCUGACGUGCAAAUCGAUCGUCAGACCUGGGUAUAGGGGCGAAAGACUAAUCGAACCAUCUAGUAGCUGGUUUCCUUCGAAGUUUCCCUCAGGAUAGCAGGCAUUUGAUUAACUCAGUCUCAUCCGGUAAAGCUAAUGAUUAGAGGUCUUGGGGUUGAAACGACCUCAACCUAUUCUCAAACUUUGAAUGGGUGAGAUGGAUGACUUUCUUGAUUGAAGCCAUCCAUUUGGAUGUAAGUGCCUAGUGGGCCAGCUUUGGUAAGCAGAACUGGCGCUGUGGGAUGAACCAAACGUCGAGAUAAGGCAUCUAAUGCAUACGCUCAUCAGACCCCAUGAAAGGUGUUGGUUGCUAUAGACAGCAGGACGGUGGCCAUGGAAGUCGGAAUCC
rnacentral:rRNA from 1 species